rnacentral:rRNA from 1 species
GACGAACCGUGCGAACGUUGUUCGGAAUCACUGGGCUUAAAGGGCGCGUAGGCGGGCUGUCAAGUCUGGGGUGAAAUGCCGCGGCUCAACCGUAGAACUGCCUUAGAUACUGACGGCCUCGAGGAAGGUAGGGGCAUGCGGAACUGUAGGUGGAGCGGUGAAAUGCGUUGAUAUCUACAGGAACUCCGGUGGCGAAAGCGGCGUGCUGGACCUUUUCUGACGCUGAGGCGCGAAAGCUAGGGGAGCAAACGGG